rnacentral:rRNA from 1 species
UACGUAGGGGGCUAGCGUUGUCCGGAAUCAUUGGGCGUAAAGCGCGUGUAGGCGGUCCGGUAAGUCCGCUGUGAAAGUCGGGGGCUCAACCCUCGGAUGCCGGUGGAUACUGUCGGGCUUGAGUACGGAAGAGGCGAGUGGAAUUCCUGGUGUAGCGGUGAAAUGCGCAGAUAUCAGGAGGAACACCGAGUGGCGAAAGGCAGCUCGCUGGGACGGUACUGACGCUGAGGCGCGAAAGCGUGGGGAGCGAACAGG